rnacentral:rRNA from 1 species
UACGUAGGGGGCAAGCGUUGUCCGGAUUUAUUGGGCGUAAAGAGCGUGUAGGCGGCCAGGUAGGUCCGUUGUGAAAACUCGAGGCUCAACCUCGAGACGCCGAUGGAAACCAUCUGGCUAGAGUCCGGAAGAGGAGAGUGGAAUUCCUGGUGUAGCGGUGAAAUGCGCAGAUAUCAGGAGGAACACCGGUGGCGAAGGCGGCUCUCUGGGACGGUACUGACGCUGAGACGCGAAAGCGUGGGGAGCGAACAGG